rnacentral:rRNA from 1 species
ACGGCUCAGUAACACGUAGUCAAUCUACCCUAUGGACGGGAAUAACCUCGGGAAACUGAGAAUAAUGCCCGAUAGAACAUUAUGCCUGGAAUGGUUUAUGUUUCAAAUGAUUUAUCGCCAUAGGAUGGGACUGCGGCCUAUCAGUUUGUUGGUGAGGUAAUGGCCCACCAAGACUAUUACAGGUACGGGCUCUGAGAGGAGUAGCCCGGAGAUGGGUACUGAGACACGGACCCAGGCCCUAUGGGGCGCAGCAGGCGAGAAAACUUUGCAAUGUGCGAAAGCACGACAAGGUUAAUCCGAGUGGUUUCUGCUAAAGAAACCUUUUGUCAGUCCUAGAAACACUAACGAAUAAGGGGUGGGCAAGUUCUGGUGUCAGCCGCCGCGGUAAAACCAGCACCUCAAGUGGUCAGGAUGAUUAUUGGGCCUAAAGCAUCCGUAGCUCGUUUUGUAAGUUUUCGGUUAAAUCCAUGCGCUUAACGUAUGGGCUGCCGGGAAUACUGCAUAACUAGGAAGUGGGAGAGGUAGACGGUACUCGGUAGGAAGGGGUAAAAUCCUUUGAUCUAUUGAUGACCACCUGUGGCGAAGGCGGUCUACCAGAACACGUUCGACGGUGAGGGAUGAAAGCUGGGGGAGCAAACCGGAUUAGAUACCCGGGUAGUCCCAGCUGUAAACUAUGCAAACUCAGUGAUGCAUUGGCUUAUGGCCAAUGCAGUGCUGCAGGGAAGCCGUUAAGUUUGCCGCCUGGGAAGUACGUACGCAAGUAUGAAACUUAAAGGAAUUGGCCGGGGAGCAC